CCCGCGCAGUCACUCUCGCUCUCUCUCGCCUCCUCUCGCAAGGCAGAGCCGGUACCUUCAUGAAAGUCUCUACAGCGCCUUUGGCUAUGUCCAGAUAGGUGGUGCCCAGAUGGGUGCGCUGGUUCAUGGAGGCGGACGUGUCUAUCAGGAAGAAUGAUUGGUUGUGCUGUGUGCUUGACUUCUGCAGCAGCUAAUAAGUAACUCCUGAAUCCAGAGCAGCUUCUGAUUCCAAAGGUUGACAGAUACCACUUGAGCUCUCAUUUCAGAGUUAUCAGCACUUGGGGGAGGAAAAUUCUUGGGCAGGAUUGUACCAAAGAGAAGAAAAGUUACAAUUACGCCACAACAGAACACAUCGCUGUGCUUCCUGGCCAAAGCAUUUCUCCUCUUCUUGUACCAGAAGCAACAACUUCGCAGACAGGAGUACCUAAACACAGGGCUGACAGCAGAGCUGGGGAUCAUCCAGCUAGCUCAUCUCUGGGCCACCCUUUUCACCUGCAGGUUGGGGUUCUCUCCUGCUUGUCUGAACUGUCACUCAAGACGUGAUUACCUACUUUUUAGUUUGCAAAACUCAGAAGAAUCUUACCUUGAUAUGCCUAAAUAAAUAAAUAAGCAAAUAAAUAAAAUCCCCAAACCAACCAACCAACCAACCAACAAAACAGAAGAUGGAGCCAGAGAGCAGCUUUUAAAGCAAACUGCCUGAGAAGAUGGAAAUUCGGUUUGCUCCAAAUCAUAAGCUUCAAAGACUGCAGAUGAGGAACUAGAGAAAGUCUUCCAAGACUCUGGUGCAGCACGAGGACAUGGAAAGCGGCUCCACUGUCUGUGAAUGCACCAGUUCAAACUGCUUCUUCCCAGAGGUCUGUUGUCAUCCUGUACAUGAACCUGUGAGCCACUGUUACUGCUCAUAGGCAGGCAGCCUAAUUCUGCUCUAGCCAAAUCAAAGGAGUGAAAGUCAACCCACAUCAAGAAUGUACAAAACUAACACAGGGAAGGAUGUUUAUUUACCAUGGUGCCAAAAAGCAGUGUAAGAGAAAUGAUGCUAAGAAACAAAGAUAAGGUAAUAUUAAUUUGAGAUAAAGUAAGCUGAUUUUUUCAGCUCGUUUUUCACUCUGUGUUACUGAUGGAUAUACUCUUCUGGGAAAGUUCAAAUAAACCAAGCAUAACAUCCUAGUGACCACA